rnacentral:lncRNA from 1 species
ACAGCUGCUGAAGUUCCCGUUGGGCCCAUGUCCCCGUUAUGAGCAGCUGCAGAACGAGACCCGGCAGACACCAGAGUAUCAGAAUGAGAGUUCUCGGAAUGCACAAUUUCUGGACAUGGUGGCCAACGAGACAGGGCUUACAGACCUGACACUGGAGACCGUCUGGAAUGUCUAUGACACACUCUUCUGUGAGCUGGAAAAGAAAGUUCUAGACUGUGGCCCAGAAUAGGGCUGGGGCAGCUCCCAGAGAAUGAAUAGUGCUGUUUCCUAUUGG